GACAAGAAUGAUCAUUCUUAUCACUUCUAUUCAAUAUAAUACUGAAAUUCCUAGACAGAGCAAUUAGGUAAGACGAAAAAAAUAUCCAACCUGGAAUGGUGUCUACACUAAGCUUAGCAUCAAUAUGGUGACCUUCUGGAAGGGGAGUACCACCAGGUUUCCUAAGGACAGGUGAACUUACCCAGGUUGGAAAUGGAGCUGGUCAAAACUCCCGUGCUGAUCAGCAGUGGAAUCACUGCACUGUUCCUUUCUGCAGAUGACAAUUUUAUAUAU
rnacentral:sRNA from 1 species